GAUGAACGCUGGCGGCGUGCCUAAUACAUGCAAGUCGAGCGAAGCGGGGACGGGUGAGUAACACGUGGAUAACCUCCUAUAAGACUGGGAUAACUUCGGGAAACCGGAGCUAAACCGGAAACUUAUAAAUGGAUGCGGGCCGCAUUAGCUAGUUGGUAAGGUAACGGCCUACCAAGGCCACGAUGCGUAGCCGACCGGAGAGGGUGAUCGGCCACACUGGAACUGAGACACGGUCCAGAUUCCUACGGGAGGCAGCAGUAGGGAAUCUUCCGCAAGGGGCGAAAGCUUGACGGAGCAACGCCGCGUGAGUGAUGAAGGUCUUCGGAUCGUAAAACUCUGUUAUUAGGGAAGCGGUACCUAAUCAGAAAGCCACGGCUAACUACGUGCCAGCAGCCGCGGUAAUAC
rnacentral:rRNA from 1 species